rnacentral:piRNA from 1 species
UUCAAUCCUAAUUCGAUAUAC